CGGACCAGGAUUCCCGCGGGUCCUGGCGGCUGCGAGCGCGAGGCGGCGCGGAUUCGCGGCUCGGUUCCGGCGCGACUGCUCACCGCGCCCGCCUCGCCUCCCGCGGCUGCCAGCGUGCACUGGGCGCUCCUCGGCGCGUCUGCCCGGCCCGUCUCGGCUUUCCUUCUCCUUCCUCUAGUCCCAGCGUCACAACUCCGCCGACCUCCUCUGCCCUGAGAGCGCGUCCGGUGCGGGCGGAGUCGGAUGGACUCUGGCUUCACGCCUCGCGCGGGCACACCUUCUCCCGGGCACUGAGGCCCAGGGGAGGCAGAGUCCUUCUGGAGUUUGACCCUUGGAUUCCAUCCAGAGCAGCCUCCAAAAUGACACCUUUGAAGUUGUGUAUCGAGCUGGGGGAUGUAAAGGGAGGAGAAGAAAGAAGAUGAAGAGAUACCAGCCAGCCUUAAGGAGUGGACAUCCUGCCUGGUGAAACUGAACAAGACACCGACCGCAUAUGGAGUUUCGCUCUGUCGCCCAGGCUGGAGUGCAGUGGUGCCAUCUCGGCUCACCGCAACCUCCACCUCCAGGUUCAAGUGAUUCUCCUGCCUCAGCCUCUC
rnacentral:lncRNA from 1 species